ensembl:lncRNA
CUCACCUGCUUGGAUGUCAGCUGGCAGAGUGGCGAAGACGGCCAUCGUGAGAGUCCUUUCUUCAGGUGUGACGUCCACAACCUCCAAGAGGGAAGAGAUGGGCUCUGCCUCUGUAUUAGGGGUGAUGUCCACCACAUUCAGGUUGGAAGAAGCCGGAUCUGCCUCUGUAUUAGGGUGUAAUUUCACAACAGAUCUAUUCUGCUGUGCUAACUCGUUGUUGAAAGGCUAGUAAAGAGCUCACUAACUUGUAGUAUGUCUCUAACUCUC